UACACUCCUGCGGGAGGCAGCAGUGGGGAAUUUUGGACAAUGGGCGAAAGCCUGAUCCAGCAAUGCCGCGUGAGUGAAGAAGGCCUUCGGGUUGUAAAGCUCUUUUGUCAGGGAAGAAACGGUGAAAGCUAAUAUCUUUUGCUAAUGACGGUACCUGAAGAAUAAGCACCGGCUAACUACGUGCCAGCAGCCGCGGUAAUACGUAGGGUGCAAGCGUUAAUCGGAAUUACUGGGCGUAAAGCGUGCGCAGGCGGUUUUGUAAGUCUGAUGUGAAAUCCCCGGGCUCAACCUGGGAAUUGCAUUGGAGACUGCAAGGCUAGAAUCUGGCAGAGGGGGGUAGAAUUCCACGUGUAGCAGUGAAAUGCGUAGAUAUGUGGAGGAACACCGAUGGCGAAGGCAGCCCCCUGGGUCAAGAUUGACGCUCAUGCACGAAAGCGUGGGGAGCAAACAGGAUUAGAAACCCCGGUAGUCCC
rnacentral:rRNA from 1 species